rnacentral:lncRNA from 1 species
CUGGAAUAAGUGAGGCAAUUCAAUUUAUAUUUGUUUAGCUGAGCUUGUUUAUACUGUUAUUCCUAACUGUUCUAGAUUCCAGCACAGACAUCCUUGGCUGCUUCUCCCAUUCACCAUGAUCAAUAGUUUCUCAGAGGCUUAUGAGAUGUUGCAAGAUAUACAGGAAAUGAAGAAACCAAAACUGCUCAUAGAAACAUCCCAGCUUCAAUAAAUAUUUUCUCCAGAAGGACUCUUCAGGUCUACAGUGGAAUUGCUGAUCAAAACAAAUGAGAAAAACAGAAAGAACAGGAAGAACAAAACACUUAUGUCCAGAUGCUGUCCAAAUCCCUCCCAGCUGGUUCUAUUAACUCCAUGAAGGGAAGCAUCUGUGAAAUGCAAAAUACUCAUCAGAAGAUUGUCCACUGCAAAAAUGGAAUUUCUAUAGGUAUUGCUACUUACAUUGCAGCAAACUAGCUAUGAAUUACAAUCAAAAACAAAGUAUUACAAGAAUUUAGAAACAAAGCUAUUAAUUAAAAACAAAGUAUUCCUUCACCAAUGAGAAAUUACAUAAGAAAUAACCAUUAUACCACCCAAUGCUCCAUUACCAAUCUCUGAA